UACGUAGGUGGCAAGCGUUGUCCGGAUUUACUGGGCGUAAAGGGCGUGCAGGCGGUCUGUUAAGUUCAGGGUGAAAGCUCCCGGCUCAACUGGGAGAGGUCCUUGGAUACUGGCAGACUUGGAGGGAGGUAGAGGAGAGUGGAAUUCUCGGUGUAGCGGUGAAAUGCGUAGAUAUCGAGAGGAACACCUGCGGCGAAGGCGGGUUGCUGGGCUGACACUGACGCUGAAGCGCGAAAGCUAGGGGAGCGAACGGG
rnacentral:rRNA from 1 species